rnacentral:rRNA from 1 species
AGAGUUUGAUCCUGGCUCAGGACGAACGCUGGCGGCGUGCCUAACACAUGCAAGUCGAACGAUGAAUCCAGCACUCAACUGCCUUCAGAAAGACAGAACGAAGCAAGAACUUUCUGGUAGCAGUUGAGCGCUGGAGGAUUAGUGGCGGAUGGGUGAGUAACGCGUGAGCAACCUGCCCUGUACUGUGGGAUAGCCAAGGGAAACCUUGAUUAAUACCGCAUAAUCCCUUUUAACCGCAUGGAAAAGAGGGCAAAGAACUUCGGUACAGGAUGGGCUCGCGUCUGAUUAGCUAGUUGGUGUGAUAAAAGCGCACCAAGGCUGCGAUCAGUAACCGGCUUGAGAGAGUGAACGGUCACACUGGAACUGAGACACGGUCCAGACUCCUACGGGAGGCAGCAGUGGGGAAUAUUGCACAAUGGAGGAAACUCUGAUGCAGCGACGUCGCGUGAGCGAAGAAGGAAUUCGUUUCGUAAAGCUCUGUCCUAUGGGAAGAUAAUGACGGUACCAUAGGAGGAAGCCCCGGCUAACUACGUGCCAGCAGCCGCGGUAAUACGUAGGGGGCGAGCGUUGUCCGGAAUUAUUGGGCGUAAAGGGUACGUAGGCGGUUUUUUAAGUCUGGUGUGAAAUUGGUGGGCUCAACCCACCCAAGCAUUGGAAACUGGAAAGCUUGAGUCAUGGAGAGGAAAGUGGAAUUCCUAGUGUAGCGGUGAAAUGCGUAGAUAUUAGGAGGAAUACCGGUGGCGAAGGCGACUUUCUGGACAUGUACUGACGCUGAGGUACGAAAGCGUGGGGAGCAAACAGGAUUAGAUACCCUGGUAGUCCACGCCGUAAACGAUGAGUGCUAGGUGUUGGGGGUCAAACCUCGGUGCCGCAGUUAACACAUUAAGCACUCCGCCUGGGGAGUACGUGCGCAAGCAUGAA